CGGGAUAUGGCGCAGCUUGGUAGCGCACCUCGUUCGGGACGAGGGGGUCGCAGGUUCAACUCCUGUUAUCCCGA
rnacentral:tRNA from 3 species